GAAUGGAAAUGAGAAUGAGAGUGAAUAUGGAAUUAAGGGGGGAGGAGGAAGGAGGGAGUAACAAAAAUGAAAACUAAAACUAAAAACUGAAAUCUAUUUGAAUUUGUUUUCACUUUUGUUACUCUUCCCUCCCAUCAUCUUCUCUCAUCCUUAUUCUCCUUCUCAC
rnacentral:miRNA from 1 species